rnacentral:rRNA from 1 species
CGCUAGCUACAGGCUUAACACAUGCAAGUCGAGGGGCAGCAUGGUCUUAGCUUGCUAAGGCCGAUGGCGACCGGCGCACGGGUGAGUAACGCGUAUCCAACCUGCCUUACACUCUUGGACAGCCUUCUGAAAGGGAGAUUAAUACAAGAUGUUAUCAUGAGUAAGCAUUUUCGCAUGAUUAAAGGUUUACCGGUGUAAGAUGGGGAUGCGUUCCAUUAGAUAGUAGGCGGGGUAACGGCCCACCUAGUCUUCGAUGGAUAGGGGUUCUGAGAGGAAGGUCCCCCACAUUGGAACUGAGACACGGUCCAAACUCCUACGGGAGGCAGCAGUGAGGAAUAUUGGUCAAUGGACGAGAGUCUGAACCAGCCAAGUAGCGUGAAGGAUGAAGGUUCUAUGGAUUGUAAACUUCUUUUAUACGGGAAUAAACGGAUCCACGUGUGGAUUUUUGCAUGUACCGUAUGAAUAAGGAUCGGCUAACUCCGUGCCAGCAGCCGCGGUAAUACGGAGGAUCCGAGCGUUAUCCGGAUUUAUUGGGUUUAAAGGGAGCGUAGAUGGGUUGUUAAGUCAGUUGUGAAAGUUUGCGGCUCAACCGUAAAAUUGCAAUUGAUACUGGCAGUCUUGAGUACAGUUGAGGUAGGCGGAAUUCGUGGUGUAGCGGUGAAAUGCUUAGAUAUCACGAAGAACUCCGAUUGCGAAGGCAGCUUACUAACCUGUAACUGACAUUGAUGCUCGAAAGUGUGGGUAUCAAACAGGAUUAGAUACCCUGGUAGUCCACACGGUAAACGAUGAAUACUCGCUGUAGGCGAUAUACAGUCUGCGGCCAAGCGAAAGCAUUAAGUAUUCCACCUGGGGAGUACGCCGGCAACGGUGAAACUCAAAGGAAUUGACGGGGGCCCGCACAAGCGGAGGAACAUGUGGUUUAAUUCGAUGAUACGCGAGGAACCUUACCCGGGCUUAAAUUGCAACCGAAUAUGGCGGAAACGCUAUAGCUAGCAAUAGCGGUUGUGAAGGUGCUGCAUGGUUGUCGUCAGCUCGUGCCGUGAGGUGUCGGCUUAAGUGCCAUAACGAGCGCAACCCUUGCCGAUAGUUACUAACAGGUUAUGCUGAGGACUCUGUCGGGACUGCCAUCGUAAGAUGUGAGGAAGGUGGGGAUGACGUCAAAUCAGCACGGCCCUUACGUCCGGGGCUACACACGUGUUACAAUGGGGGGUACAGAGGGCUGCUACCACGCAAGUGGAUGCCAAUCCCAAAAACCUCUCUCAGUUCGGAUUGAAGUCUGCAACCCGACUUCAUGAAGCUGGAUUCGCUAGUAAUCGCGCAUCAGCCACGGCGCGGUGAAUACGUUCCCGGGCCUUGUACACACCGCCCGUCAAGCCAUGGGAGCCGGGGGUACCUGAAGUGCGUAACCGCAAGGAGCGCCCUAGGGUAAAACUGGUGACUGGGG